GGCUUAUGAAGAGAGAGAUCCCUUCGCAUCAUGGGAGUAUAUACCAAGCCAGCUCUGAAUCAGGAAGGGACUUCCCACCAGAAGGCAUGGAAAGUAAACAGGAACUGUCAAAGACAUACCCAGUGUGUCUCAGAGGCUACAUCACUGGCUCCGUCCAACUCUCAAGUGUGCCGGGCAUUUUUCCUUUUAAGGACAGUGAAGUCAUCUCCAUAUAGGCCACGGUGUCAGGCACAGGGAAGCCACUGCCAGGAGGAAGGAAGCCAUUCCCUGACCAGGGUCAAUAUUGCCCCCAGCAGGAGCAUCUCUGCAAUGGAAGGUUUCACUUAACCACCCAGCAGUUUGAACAACAGGGACGGGGUCCAUCCGGAGACAGAAACUCUGUUUUCACAAACAAGUGAACAAAACAACAGAAGGAUAGAACAAAAUCCUUAUCCUUUGUUAGGAGACUCCAACAAAUCCUCUCGGAUUUGACUUGCAGAUUCUAGCUUGACUUGCACGUUCUUCCUUGAUGUCCUUUCCACGGGGCCAUGAGGCAUUUUCUGUUACCCUGUGAGCUGGCUGCUGGGACUUUUCCACAUGUCUCAUGACUCUUAGCGAACCUUCGUUUUCAUUUGGCUUUGAGCUGGGCAGGCUAUGGUUUCUCAGGUUUAGCUUUGGGAAGGUGCCCCCUACUGGGCUUUGGGUGAUGGAAGAACUUGAGGACCCCGGAAGGGGAGCUGCAGUAGCUGCCCGUGAAUGUAACCUGGACUUUGGAACCUUCUGGAUGACACAGUUGCUUACCCGUCUUGUUAUCAAUCUGGAAAUCUAGUCAAGCGCUACAUUUCCAGUCCCC
rnacentral:lncRNA from 1 species